rnacentral:rRNA from 1 species
AGUGAACGCUGGCGGUAGGCCUAACACAUGCAAGUCGAACGGCAGCACAGUAAGAGCUUGCUCUUACGGGUGGCGAGUGGCGGACGGGUGAGGAAUACAUCGGAAUCUACUUUUUCGUGGGGGAUAACGUAGGGAAACUUACGCUAAUACCGCAUACGACCUACGGGUGAAAGCAGGGGAUCUUCGGACCUUGCGCGAUUGAAUGAGCCGAUGUCGGAUUAGCUAGUUGGCGGGGUAAAGGCCCACCGAGGCGACGAUCCGUAGCUGGUCUGAGAGGAUGAUCAGCCACACUGGAACUGAGACACGGUCCAGACUCCUACGGGAGGCAGCAGUGGGGAAUAUUGGACAAUGGGCGCAAGCAUGAUCCAGCCAUACCGCGUGGGUGAAGAAGGCCUUCGGGUUGUAAAGCCCUUUUGUUGGGAAAGAAAAGCAGCAGGUUAAUACCCCGCUGUUCUGACGGUACCCAAAGAAUAAGCACCGGCUAACUUCGUG